rnacentral:rRNA from 1 species
CCUACGGGAGGCAGCAGUGAGGAAUAUUGGUCAAUGGACGAGAGUCUGAACCAGCCAAGUAGCGUGAAGGAUGACUGCCCUAUGGGUUGUAAACUUCUUUUAUAUGGGAAUAAAAUGUUCCACGUGUGGGAUUUUGUAUGUACCAUAUGCAUAAGUAUCGGCUAACUCCGUGCCAGCAGCCGCGGUAAUACGGAGGAUCCGAGCGUUAUCCGGAUUUAUUGGGUUUAAAGGGAGCGUAGGUGGAUUGUUAAGUCAGUUGUGAAAGUUUGCGGCUCAACCGUAAAAUUGCAGUUGAAACUGGCAGUCUUGAGUACAGUAGAGGUGAGCGGAAUUCGUGGUGUAGCGGUGAAAUGCUUAGAUAUCACGAAGAACUCCGAUUGCGAAGGCAGUUCACUGGACUGCAACUGACACUGAGGCUCGAAAGUGUGGGUAUCAAACAGGAUUAGAUACCCGAGUAGUC